rnacentral:rRNA from 1 species
AUUGAACGCUGGCGGCAGGCCUAACACAUGCAAGUCGAACGGUAACAGGAAGCAGCUUGCUGCUUCGCUGACGAGUGGCGGACGGGUGAGUAAUGUCUGUGAAGCUGCCUGAUGGAGGGGGAUAACUACUGGAAACGGUAGCUAAUACCGCAUAAUGUCGCAAGACCAAAGAGGGGGACCUUCGGGCCUCUUGCCAUCGGCUGUGCCCAGAUGGGAUUAGCUUGUUGGUGGGGUAACGGCUCACCAAGGCGACGAUCCCUAGCUGGUCUGAGAGGGUGACCGGCCAAAGUGGAAAUGAGACACGGGCCAGACUCCUAAGGGAGGCAGCAGGAGGGAAUCUUCCGCAAGGGGCGAAAGACGGACGGAGAAACGCGGCGGGAGUGAUGAAGGUCUUCGGAGCGUAAAACUCUGUGAGUAGGGAAGAACAAAGGUGUAAGUAACUAUGCACGUCUUGACGGUACCUAAUCAGAAAGCCACGGCUAACUACGUG